AGCGAACGCUGGCGGCAGGCCUAACACAUGCAAGUCGAACGAACCCUUCGGGGUAAGUGGCGGUCGGGUGAGUAACACGUGGGAACGUGCCUUUAGGUACGGAAUAAUUCAGGGAAACUUGUGCUAAUACCGAAUGUGUCCUUCGGGGGAAAGAUUCAUCGUCUUUAGAGAGGCCCGCGUCUGUUUAGCCAGUUGGUUGUGGUAAUGGCUCACCAGGGCGACGAUCAGUAGCUGGUCUGAGAGGAUGAUCAGCCACAUUGGGACUGAGACACAGCGCAAAAUAUUGCGCGAGGCAGGAGUGCGGGAUCUUGCGAAACCGGCGAAAUCCUGACGGAGCCAUGCCGCGUGAAUGAUGAAGGUCUUAGGAUUGUAAAGUUCUUUCACCGGCGACGAUAAUGACGGUACCCAGAGAAGAAGCCCCGGCUAACUUCGUG
rnacentral:rRNA from 1 species